GUGUACACAAGAUAGAGCUCACAUCAAGUUUUCUUAAACUUUACAUUUAAAUCCGCCUUCAAAAGUAUUUUUCAAAAAUCUUUAUCCGUUUAAUCUUAUAAAUGUAACCCACCUCUAUCUUUUACAUAAGCUGCACCUUUACUUGAAGUAUUUGAAUUUAUCAUAAUAGAAAGUUUUCUAGUAAAACUGACUGACAACAGCGGUAUACAAACUGAUAGCAAAUAAAAGUAAAGUAUUUCGUGGUUCAUCGUUUACAGGGCAGGUUCCUCUAAAUGGCUAUCUUGCCGCCAAAUCCGUUAAAUUUCAUUAUUAUUACUAUUCCAAAAUCUUUUGAUUAUAAGUA
rnacentral:rRNA from 1 species